rnacentral:lncRNA from 1 species
ACAAUCAUCUGAUCCUUCCAUAUCUUCUAAUCUUAUCUUCUUAUUAGAGCAUUUCAUUCCAUAUCUUCUAAUCUUAUCUUCUUAUUAGAGCAUUCCAAAAUAUAUUCUAAAUAUUGUUCAUGAACCAGUAUUAUAUGUAUAUCAAACUUAUCUGUCAUAGUACAAUACUAUUUAUUUAUCUGCAAAAUAUCCGAAAGAAAAUUAGC